rnacentral:rRNA from 1 species
AUUUGACCUCAAAUCAGGUAGGACUACCCGCUGAACUUAAGCU